rnacentral:rRNA from 1 species
CGCCAGACUCCUACGGGAGGCAGCAGUGAGGAAUAUUGGUCAAUGGGCGCGAGCCUGAACCAGUCAAGUCGCGUGAGGGAUGACGGCCCUACGGGUUGUAAACCUCUUUUGUCGGGGAGCAAAUUCCGCCACGCGUGGCGGAGUCGAGAGUACCCGAAGAAAAAGCAUCGGCUAACUCCGUGCCAGCAGCCGCGGUAAUACGGAGGAUGCGAGCGUUAUCCGGAUUUAUUGGGUUUAAAGGGUGCGUAGGCGGGCUUUUAAGUCAGCGGUAAAAAUUCGGGGCUCAACCCCGUCCGGCCGUUGAAACUGGGGGCCUUGAGUGGGCGAGAAGUAUGCGGAAUGCGUGGUGUAGCGGUGAAAUGCAUAGAUAUCACGCAGAACUCCGAUUGCGAAGGCAGCGUACCGGCGCCCAACUGACGCUGAAGCACGAAGGCGUGGGUAUCGAACAGGAUUAGAUACCCUCGUA